rnacentral:rRNA from 1 species
AUGGCCUCCUCUCCGCGCUCGCUCUGGGUCGCUCGCGCGAGGUUCGCUGGCUGGAGUCGAGCCCGUCCUCGGGCGGAUCCGCGGACUCGGCCAUGUCUUACCGGCAGGCCCUUUGCAGGGCACCUACGCCCUCGCCGGCUGCCUCCCCUCUCCCGGCGCCUGCGUCCCCUUCCUCCCCGCCUCCGGCCCCUGCGCCCUAGCCGCUGGCCGCCCGCUGCAUGCUCCGCUCCGAGGUCUGCUGGACGGAUGGUGCGCCCGCCCCUGGCGACGGCUGGCUGGUGGCCCGGGGCAAGAAGCGCCCGCGCCCGCGUGGCCCUCCCCGUCGCCUGCGUCGCGGCACCGGCGAGUCAUCCCGCCCGCGCCCGUCCGGGCUCCGCGAGGGGGGAAUGCCCCCGCUGCUUCAGCACUGCACACCUGCGCUCCGAGUGCCGGCGCGACAUCUGCUGCGCGCGCUGCCGGUUCUUCGGGCAUAAGGCCAAGGACUGCACCGCCCGCCCCGCGUCGCCCCCCUCGUCGUCCGGCGGGUCCGUCCCGCCCCCGCAGCGACGCCGCGUCUCCUCGAGCGAGCCGGCUCGCCCCCUCCCUGCCGCGCCGCCCCCUUCUGGCGACCCCGGCGCUGGCUCCGCGGCCACCACCCGCACCUCGUCGGGGCUGCACACGCCCGUGUCCUCCGGGCCGUCGGCUUGGCCGUCUGCGCCUCCCUCCGACUCCUCCCUCGCCGGCACCUUGGUCGCCACCCGCUCCUCCUCGAGUCUUCCGACGCCGCCCGUGUCUUCCGGGCCGACGACUCCCUCACGCUCGGUGUCGCCUCUGGCCUCUGCCUCCACCCAUGCCACCCGUUCUCCGGACAUCCGGCGCGCCGCCCGGCGGCUGCCAUCUGCUACCUGUCGCGGUCCUCUGAGGUCAUCGCCGUGGAGCGCGCCCUCCUCGUCACCGUGGCCGGUUGUCGCACGGGCGUGUCUGGCAACGAGGUCGCCGCCGUCCUCUGCUCCCAGUUCGGGCUCGCCGCGACCGACUUCUCGGUCCAUAAGCACGCACCCGAGGAUUUCCUGGUCAGGUUCCCCGACCCCGCGGCGCGCUGUUGUGUUGCUCUCGCCGGCCGCGCGCGCACGCGCCGUUUUCGCCUUAUUUUCCACCCUUGAGGCCGCACGGCCGGUUCCGAGCCGGUGA